AAUUCAAGCAUCAUAGUCGGCAAACCACAGCAGAGCUGCCAGAGAGAGAUGGAGCCUUGUUCCACCGGAAGUCACUUUGUCCAACAGCCUCCUGGGAGCGGAGCUGCCUGUGGACACCACCCAAAGUUAGGGGGAAGGGUACAGUGGCUUUGAGCACGCCUGGCCCUGAAGUCACCAGCUUCCGGGAGGCACUGGCCUGGAGAGGGAGCCCCCACUCACCCAGGGGAGGCCGGGGAGCAUCUUCCUCUGGCUCUUUCUCCCUAGGUCUCUGAGUUCUCAGGUCAGGGAUGGUGUCUCUCUUGCUAAUAGCCCUGUCUCCAGAGGCACACAGGCCUGGCACACAGCACGGGCACUCACAGCUGCCCCAGACCUCUCCCUCUCCCGGGCUCCCUUUGUCUUGAUCUCCCUCUCCUGUUGCCUGGUAACCGCCCUCCCCGUCACCAGCCCCGCGGAAACCAUGGCAACGGGCAGCCGGAAGAUGCGGCCAUUCCUCUCCCUUUUGUCCCUUGCAUUUCAGCAGCGCCCGCGCACGUGGACGCUCCAAUUACAGGACAAACAAGGACCUCCAAAUUCGUGUUCAAACACCCCACGUGGUGGGCAGUGGCGGGGAUCAGAGGAUUCUGGAAUGAACGCAAAGGAUGAACAGACCCAGCCAGCGAAGAACACACAGACAGACAGACAGACAGACAGACAGACAGACAGACAGACAGACCCAGCAGCCCCAGGAGGAGAACCCAGGACCCAAAGCGCCGGGCCUAGAACGAGUCACAAUUGGCGUGCAGCUCUGGCUCCACCACUGCCGACCUGUGCCCUCUGUGCUCUGACCUUCCACUCUUUCAGCACCGAGGUCCUUCUGAAACCACAGAGGCUUGGCAUCUGCUCUUCCCUCUGGCCCAGAGUUCCCUCCCCUCUUUGCACACUAACUCCAACCUGACCCUCAAUCUCAGCUCCAGCACGCCUUCCUGGAGGAAGCUUCCCUGCCUAUCCCUCCAUUCCCCUUCCCAGGUUCCCACAACCCCCUAAGCUGCACUUUCCACGCGUACAAUCAUGUAUAUUUCUUAAAUGUCGUCUAAGUUUCCAGGGUCUCCUAUACCAAAUGACCACAAACUGGAUGGCUUAAAACAACACGUAUGCCUUGUCUCCCAGUUCUAGAGGCUAGAAGUUGCAAGUCAGGAUGUGUGGAAGGCCACGCUCCCUCUGAAGGCUACAGGGGAGGAUCUUUCCUUGUCUCCUCCAGCUUCUGCUAGCUGUCAGCAUCCUUGGUAUUCCUUGGCUUGUGGACACAUCACUCUAAUCUCUGCCCAUGGUCACAUGGGUUUCUCCCCAUGUCCCUCUGUCCAAAUUUCCCUCAUCUUAUAAAGAUGCCAGUCAUUGGAUUCGGGUUCACCCUGAUCCAGGAUGACCUCUCUUAACUUGAUUAUAUCUAUCUGUCAUGAUUAUUUCCAAAUGAUACGGACAGGAAGGAGUCAGGGAAACACUGGGUAGAAGAGGGUGGUUCCCUGGUAAAGGCCCCUCCCUCAAGCCUGGAUACCUGAGGCCCUAAAUGAGAACAGGAAUUCCUGUUUUCAAGCCCCAAAAAUUGCCUUUUGGCCUGCCAUACCCCAUAUCCUGCCCUCAUAUAAACCCCAAACCCCAAGUUCCAGAGCAGACCAGCAGGCAAGGAGACAAGGAGGCAAGCAGAUGGAUGGCAGAACAAUGUGGCGGAGAAAGAGAGAAGAGAAGAGAUGUCUGGAUGCCAACAGGAGUUUGGCUGGGGGUGGUCAGAGAAGAAUCCAGUGGCUGGGCAGCCCGACUCCAGGGGAAGAUCACCUUCCCACUCUAUCCCCCUGCCUUCAGGCCCCCCAUCCAUCUCACUAAGAGCCACCUCCACCACUCAAUAAAACCUUGCAUUCAUCCUUCGAGCCCUCGUGUGAUCCAGUCCUUCUGGGACACUGGGCAAGAGCUCGGGAUAUAGAAAGCUGUCACACUGGCCCUUUGCCCUUCUGAUAAGGCAGAGGGUCCAUUGAGCUGAUUAAUACUCAAGAUGCCUGCAGAUGUCAAAGCUGAAAGAGCUUUUUAACACUGGGGUUCCAAGCACCUACCCCUACACAUUCCUGUGGGGCCAAGAGCCCAAAACACUUGCACAGCCUCUGCAGCUGCCCAUCUGCAUAAUUACCCUAGGGGUUUGAGCUGCGGGGUGACUGAACAGGCAACCCACACCUCUGUGGCACACCCUGCAAGGGGAAUCAGAGAACUCACCCAUUUCACAAAUAAGGUCACAUUCUGAAGUCCACACAUCCUGCAAGGGGAA